UACGUAGGGUGCGAGCGUUGUCCGGAAUUACUGGGCGUACAGAGCUCGUAGGUGGUUUGUCGCGUUGUUCGUGAAAACUCACAACUCAAUUGUGGGCGUGCGGGCGAUACGGGCAGACUGGAGUACUGCAGGGGAGACUGGAAUUCCUGGUGUAGCGGUGGAAUGCGCAGAUAUCAGGAGGAACACCGGUGGCGAAGGCGGGUCUCUGGGCAGUAACUGACGCUGAGGAGCGAAAGCGUGGGGAGCGAACAGG
rnacentral:rRNA from 1 species